UAGGGCGUUUAGUAUUUGGUCGUAGACCCGAAACCAGGUGAUCUACCCUUGGUCAGGUUGAAGUUCAGGUAACACUGAAUGGAGGACCGAACCGACUUACGUUGAAAAGUGAGCGGAUGAACUGAGGGUAGCGGAGAAAUUCCAAUCGAACCUGGAGAUAGCUGGUUCUCUCCGAAAUAGCUUUAGGGCUAGCCUCAAGUGAUGAUUAUUGGAGGUAGAGCACUGUUUGGACGAGGGGCCCCUCUCGGGUUACCGAAUUCAGACAAACUCCGAAUGCCAAUUAAUUUAACUUGGGAGUCAGAACAUGGGUGAUAAGGUCCGUGUUCGAAAGGGAAACAGCCCAGACCACCAGCUAAGGUCCCAAAAUAUAUGUUAAGUGGAAAAGGAUGUGGCGUUGCCCAGACAACUAGGAUGUUGGCUUAGAAGCAGCCAUCAUUUAAAGAGUGCGUAAUAGCUCACUAGUCGAGUGACACUGCGCCGAAAAUGUACCGGGGCUAAACAUAUUACCGAAGCUGUGGAUUGUCCUUUGGACAAUGGUAGGAGAGCGUUCUAAGG
rnacentral:rRNA from 1 species